rnacentral:tRNA from 2 species
CGGGGCGUGGCUCAGUUUGGUAGAGCAUCGCGUUCGGGACGCGGAGGUCGCACGUUCAAAUCGUGUCGCCCCGACCA